AACGAACGCUGGCGGCAGGCCUAACACAUGCAAGUCGAGCGAGGACUUCGGUUCUAGCGGCGGACGGGUGAGUAACGCGUGGGAAUGUGCCCUUCUCUACGGAAUAGCCCUGGGAAACUGGGAGUAAUACCGUAUACGCCCUUUGGGGAAAGAUUUAUCGGAGAAGGAUCAGCCCGCGUUGGAUUAGGUAGUUGGUGGGGUAAUGGCCUACCAAGCCGACGAUCCAUAGCUGGUUUGAGAGGAUGAUCAGCCACACUGGGACUGAGACACGGCCCAGACUCCUACGGGAGGCAGCAGUGGGGAAUCUUAGACAAUGGGGGCAACCCUGAUCUAGCCAUGCCGCGUGAGUGAUGAAGGCCUUAGGGUUGUAAAGCUCUUUCAGCUGGGAAGAUAAUGACGGUACCAGCAGAAGAAGCCCCGGCUAACUCCGUG
rnacentral:rRNA from 1 species